UACGGAGGGCGCGAGCGUUACCCGGAUUUACUGGGCGUAAAGGGCGUGUAGGCGGCUUGGGGCGUCCCAUGUGAAAGGCCACGGCUCAACCGUGGAGGAGCGUGGGAUACGCUCAGGCUAGACGGUGGGAGAGGGUGGUGGAAUUCCAGGAGUAGCGGUGAAAUGCGCAGAUACCGGGAGGAACGCCGAUGGCGAAGGCAGCCACCUGGCUCACUGGUGACGCUGAGGCGAGAAAGCGUGGGGAGCAAACCGG
rnacentral:rRNA from 1 species